AAUGGGGGAUAACGUAGCGAAAGUUACGCUAAUACCGCAUAUGCCCUGAGGGGGAAAGGUGGGGAUCGCAAGACCUAUCGUUUUCGGAGUGGCCGAUAUCAGAUUAGCUAGUUGGUGGGGUAAAGGCCCACCAAGGCGACGAUCUGUAGCGGGUCUGAGAGGAUGAUCCGCCACACUGGGACUGAGACACGGCCCAGACUCCUACGGGAGGCAGCAGUGGGGAAUUUUGGACAAUGGGGGCAACCCUGAUCCAGCCAUGCCGCGUGAGUGAAGAAGGCCUUCGGGUUGUAAAGCUCUUUCAGCCGGAAAGAAAUCGCGCAGGCUAAUAUCCUGCGUGGAUGACGGUACCGGAAGAAGAAGCACCGGCUAACUACGUGCCAGCAGCCGCGGUAAUACGUAGGGUGCGAGCGUUAAUCGGAAUUACUGGGCGUAAAGCGUGCGCAGGCGGUUUUGUAAGACAGGUGUGAAAUCCCCGGGCUUAACCUGGGAACUGCAUUUGUGACUGCAAGGCUAGAGUGUGGCAGAGGGGGGUAGAAUUCCG
rnacentral:rRNA from 1 species